GGAAAGCUGGUGACAGUGAGCCUGCACAUUCAAAAUCCCCUCCAGUUUUUAGGAGUUUGUUCUCUGGGCUCUUGGUCAAUCCCCUCCUACUUCUUACUUGUCGUAACAGCUAACAGUGUACAUCUGCCUGUUGGUGCUCCCGGUUCCUCCCAGGUGUGUAUAAUUAUACCCCAACUCCAAAAUGCGGUUCCGAUGAGAGGGCGUGCCGGGUGCACGCGGGCAGCAGCUUGUCCUGGGAGGUGUACUAGCUUCCUGUGGCUGCAAGUUACUACAAACUGGGUGGCUGGAAACAACAGGAAUUUCUUCUCUGACGGUUCUGGAGGCCAGAAGUCUGAAAUCAAGGCGUUGUCAAGGGGGCCGCCAUUCGAUCCACUACGUGAGGCAGUAAGAAGCAUAUUCCCGAAGGAAUUGUUGAAAUAUUGACGGACUUCAGAGCUCCGUGAGCUGGGCGGACUCACAUGGCUGGUGUCCAUGCUAUGAGGCGAGUGGGGCCCGCAUGCUCUACGCCCUGGAAUGCCGCUCCACCCACCUCAGUUACUCAUGGAAAUUAGAAGGAAUGGGCUUCGUUACACCAUUGUGAGUUUUUCAAAUGGGAUUCCACUUCAGUUACAUUAUGACAUGGAGGCAUUAUGAAAAGUUACUGACAGAAGGAACACACGUGUGAAGAAGGAUGCUCUGGAUGGAAUUUGAUUCUCUUCCAAUAUUUGAAUGUUGAACAUGGACCCUCUCAGUUCACCUGCCUAAUCAAUAAAUAUCUGUCCUGUGCAGCUGUGGAU
rnacentral:lncRNA from 1 species